GAAAAACAUAGAAAGAGGGUUUGAAGGCUAAUUUGAGAGUGUGAAAUUUGUGAGGGUUGAGUAUGUUAUGAGAAGGAAAAGAGACAUGU